UGGGGAAUUUUGCACAAUGGGGGAAACCCUGAUGCAGCGACGCCGCGUGAUUUAGAAGGCCUUCGGGUUGUAAAAAUCUUUUCUAUGGGAAGAAAAUGACAGUACCAUAGGAAUAAGUACCGGCUAAUUACGUGCCAGCAGCCGCGGUAUUACGUAAGGUCCGAGCGUUGUCCGGAAUCAUUGGGCGUAAAGGGUACGUAGGCGGGUAAGCAAGUUAGAAGUGAAAUCCUAUAGCUCAACUAUAGUAAGCUUUUAAAACUGCUCAUCUUGAGGUAUGGAAGGGAAAGUGGAAUUCCUAGUGUAGCGGUGAAAUGCGCAGAUAUUAGGAGGAAUACCGGUGGCGAAGGCGACUUUCUGGCCAUAACCUGACGCUGAGGUACGAAAGGGUGGGUAGCAAACAGG
rnacentral:rRNA from 1 species